rnacentral:rRNA from 1 species
CAGCCGCCGCGGUAAUACAGAGGGUGCGAGCGUUAAUCGGAUUUACUGGGCGUAAAGCGUGCGUAGGCGGCUUUUUAAGUCGGAUGUGAAAUCCCUGAGCUUAACUUAGGAAUUGCAUUCGAUACUGGGAAGCUAGAGUAUGGGAGAGGAUGGUAGAAUUCCAGGUGUAGCGGUGAAAUGCGUAGAGAUCUGGAGGAAUACCGAUGGCGAAGGCAGCCAUCUGGCCUAAUACUGACGCUGAGGUACGAAAGCAUGGGGAGCAAACAGGAUUAGAUACCCCUGUAGUCCCUGUCUCUUAUAU